rnacentral:rRNA from 1 species
UACGGAGGGUGCAAGCGUUGUCCGGAAUCACUGGGCGUAAAGGGCGCGUAGGCGGCUCAUGAAGGCUGUGGUGAAAGUCCGGGGCUCAACCUCGGAUCGGCCGUGGCGACUCGUGGGCUGGAGCACUGUAGAGGCGGGUGGAAUUCCGGGUGUAGCGGUGGAAUGCGUAGAGAUCCGGAAGAACACCAGUGGCGAAGGCGGGUCUCUGGGCAGUAACUGACGCUGAGGAGCGAAAGCGUGGGGAGCGAACAGG